CAAAAACAAAAGAAAACAAAGCUCCACAAAAUACAAGCAUCUGACUCCAGAGUUAUACUUUCACCUUAGGCCACAAAUUUGACAAUUUCAUUUAAGGAAUGUUUAUUUCUGGAAAAUAUAAUUUAUCAAAAUGCUUCCCCUAACAAAUCUAAGGAUGACUUAAUGUAAAGAAAUCUCUCAGUGUGUCAUGUUAGUAGGUCAAAUUUGGUAUGGUAGUAUUAGAGACAAUUAACAAGUAGUUGAUAAAUUCCAUUCCAUAUCCAAUACUGAAGAAAGAAUACUUAUAAUAUUCUAUAACAGGUAAUAGCUCUUAAGUCAAUGGACAGCACCACACUUUCUAUGAAACAAUAAAGAUAAUUGUAUUACAUUAGGAACAAGAAAAGUUAGUUAAUAUUGGCUAGGAAAUUCUGUCCAAUAUGAUAAGAUGCAAACUAAAUAAAUAAAAGGUAGAACUACUGGAAAGAUAAAGUUAAAAUACUUACAGGUAGAUUAUGUACAUAGAAACUCUCUGAGAAUAGAAGUAACAAUCACUAAAGCGUGCAAGACAUUCUAAAAACUUUACAUAAAUUAUUUAACCUCAUAAUAAAACUAUGAAAUAGAUACUAUUAUUAUCAUUCCCAUUUUACAAAUAAGGAAACUGGGGCACCACAAAGUUAGGUGACUCUCUUAGUGUCACACUAAAGUGGGGUUCUAGAAUCUGUAUUGUAAGCCCCUACACUGUACAACCUCUAUUAACAUAAUGAAAGAGUUCAGUAAUGGAGCAAUAGUUUCUUGAUAUUGUAGCAAAUACCAAUUAGAAGAUGGACUGGAAAACGAUAUUCUACAUUAGAAGAAAAAUUACAAAAUAUCAAGGAAUGUAAGUUUAACAAGAAAUGAAGAGGACCUAUGUGAAGACAAAUGUAAAUAAACACAUCUACCAAGUUUUAUAUGGGAAAACCCAUACAUACAUGUGCAAAAAUGACUAUUUUUCCACAAUUAAAGUUUAAUUAAAUUCUAAUCAGAGGGCUUCCCUGGUGGCGCAGCGGUUGAGAGUCCGCCUGCCGAUGCAGGGGACACGGGUUUGUGCCCUGGUACGGGAAGAUCCCACAUGCCGCGGAGCAGCUGGGCCCGUGAGCCAUGGUCGCUGAGCCUGCGCGUCUGGAGUCUGUGCUCCGCAGCGGGAGAGGCCACAACAGUGAGAGGCCCGCGUACCGCAAAAAAAAAAAAAAAAAAAGUGUCUCAAAUGUAUUAAAGAUAUAAAUGAAAAUAAGAAAAUAAAAAUUGCCAUAAAUUCUAGAAGAAAAUACAAGUGAAAUAAA